rnacentral:rRNA from 1 species
AUUGAACGCUGGCGGCAGGCCUAACACAUGCAAGUCGAGCGGAUGAAGGGAGCUUGCUCCUGGAUUCAGCGGCGGACGGGUGAGUAAUGCCUAGGAAUCUGCCUGGUAGUGGGGGAUAACGUCCGUAAACGGGCGCUAAUACCGCAUACGUCCUGAUGGAGAACGUGGGGGAUCUUCGGACCUCACGCUACCAGAUGAGCCUAGGUCGGAUUAGCUAGUUGGUGGGGUAAAGGCCUACCAAGGCGACGAUCCGUAACUGGUCUGAGAGGAUGAUCAGUCACACUGGAACUGAGACACGGUCCAGACUCCUACGGGAGGCAGCAGUGGGGAAUAUUGGACAAUGGGCGAAAGCCUGAUCCAGCCAUGCCGCGUGUGUGAAGAAGGUCUUCGGAUUGUAAAGCACUUUAAGUUGGGAGGAAGAGCAGUAAGUUAAUACCUUGCUGUUUUGACGUUACCAACAGAAUAAGCACCGGCUAACUUCGUG